rnacentral:rRNA from 1 species
CCGGUGGCCUAACCCUUGUGGAGGGAGCCGUCGAAGGUGGGAUCGGCGAUUGGGACGAAGUCGUAACAAGGUAGCCGUACCGGAAGGUGCGGCUGGAUCACCUCCUUUCUAAGGAG